UACACUUGAUGAUAUAAUUUGGUCCGUGUUUAUGAAAUUUUAUGAUUUCAUAUAAUCCAUUAUUUCUGAUGUC